UACAGAGGGGCAAGCGUUAUUCGGAAUUAUUGGGCGUAAAGGGCGCGUAGGCGGCUUGGCAAGUGGAAGGUGAAAUCCCUCGGCUUAACCGGAGGAACUGCCCUCCAAACUGCUUUGCUUGAGGCCGGGAAGAGGUGAGUGGAAUUCCCAGUGGUAGCGGUGAAAUGCGCAGAUAUCAGGAAGAACACCCGUGGCGAAAGCGGCUCUCUGGAACGGUACUGACGCUGAGACGCGAAAGCGUGGGGGAGCGAAACAGG
rnacentral:rRNA from 1 species